GAUGAACGCUGGCGGCGUGCCUAAUACAUGCAAGUCGAGCGAACGGACGAGAAGCUUGCUUUUCUGAUGUUAGCGGCGGACGGGUGAGUAACACGUGGAUAACCUACCUAUAAGACUGGGAUAACUUCGGGAAACCGGAGCUAAUACCGGAUAAUAUUUUGAACCGCAUGGUUCAAAAGUGAAGGACGGUCUUGCUGUCACUUAUAGAUGGAUCCGCGCUGCAUUAGCUAGUUGGUAAGGUAACGGCUUACCAAGGCAACGAUGCAUAGCCGACCUGAGAGGGUGAUCGGCCACACUGGAACUGAGACACGGUCCAGACUCCUACGGGAGGCAGCAGUAGGGAAUCUUCCGCAAUGGGCGAAAGCCUGACGGAGCAACGCCGCGUGAGUGAUGAAGGUCUUCGGAUCGUAAAACUCUGUUAUUAGGGAAGAACAUAUGUGUAAGUAACUGUGCACAUCUUGACGGUACCUAAUCAGAAAGCCACGGCUAACUACGUGCCAGCAGCCGCGGUAAUACGUAGGUGGCAAGCGUUAUCCGGAAUUAUUGGGCGUAAAGCGCGCGUAGGCGGUUUUUUAAGUCUGAUGUGAAAGCCCACGGCUCAACCGUGGAGGGUCAUUGGAAACUGGAAAACUUGAGUGCAGAAGAGGAAAGUGGAAUUCCAUGUGUAGCGGUGAAAUGCGCAGAGAUGUGGAGGAACACCAGUGGCGAAGGCGACUUUCUGGUCUGUAACUGACGCUGAUGUGCGAAAGCGUGGGGAUCAAACAGGAUUAGAUACCCUGGUAGUCCACGCCGUAAACGAUGAGUGCUAAGUGUUAGGGGGUUUCCGCCCCUUAGUGCUGCAGCUAACGCAUUAAGCACUCCGCCUGGGGAGUACGACCGCAAGGUUGAAACUCAAAGGAAUUGACGGGGGCCCGCACAAGCGGUGGAGCAUGUGGUUUAAUUCGAAGCAACGCGAAGAACCUUACCAAAUCUUGACAUCCUUUGACAACUCUAGAGAUAGAGCCUUCCCCUUCGGGGGACAAAGUGACAGGUGGUGCAUGGUUGUCGUCAGCUCGUGUCGUGAGAUGUUGGGUUAAGUCCCGCAACGAGCGCAACCCUUAAGCUUAGUUGCCAUCAUUAAGUUGGGCACUCUAAGUUGACUGCCGGUGACAAACCGGAGGAAGGUGGGGAUGACGUCAAAUCAUCAUGCCCCUUAUGAUUUGGGCUACACACGUGCUACAAUGGACAAUACAAAGGGCAGCGAAACCGCGAGGUCAAGCAAAUCCCAUAAAGUUGUUCUCAGUUCGGAUUGUAGUCUGCAACUCGACUACAUGAAGCUGGAAUCGCUAGUAAUCGUAGAUCAGCAUGCUACGGUGAAUACGUUCCCGGGUCU
rnacentral:rRNA from 1 species